GUAUGUGUUACAUUUUUUAUUUGGUCUAAGAUUGGGCAUUGUACAAAAUCGGCCAAGUUACCACUUGACAAGUUCAAAAAGUUUGCCUCGACAUAAUUUCUAAACAAA